rnacentral:rRNA from 1 species
AGUGAACGCUGGCGGUAGGCCUAACACAUGCAAGUCGAACGGCAGCACAGUAAGAGCUUGCUCUUACGGGUGGCGAGUGGCGGACGGGUGAGGAAUACAUCGGAAUCUACUUUUUCGUGGGGGAUAACGUAGGGAAACUUACGCUAAUACCGCAUACGACCUACGGGUGAAAGCAGGGGAUCUUCGGACCUUGCGCGAUUGAAUGAGCCGAUGUCGGAUUAGCUAGUUGGCGGGGUAAAGGCCCACCAAGGCGACGAUCCGUAGCUGGUCUGAGAGGAUGAUCAGCCACACUGGAGCUGAGACACGGUCCAGGCUCCUGCGGGAGGCAGCAGUGGGGAAUAUUGGACAAUGGGCGCAAGCCUGAUCCAGCCAUACCGCGUGGGUGAAGAAGGCCUUCGGGUUGUAAAGCCCUUUUGUUGGGAAAGAAAAGCAGCAGGUUAAUACCCCGCUGUUCUGACGGUACCCAAAGAAUAAGCACCGGCUAACUUCGUG